UACGAGGGGGGCAAGCGUUGUUCGGAAUUAUUGGGCGUAAAGGGCGCGUAGGUGGUUAUUUAAGUGAGAUGUGAAAGCCCCGGGCUCAACCUGGGAACUGCAUCUUAUACUGGGUAACUGGAGUACAUGAGAGGGUAGUGGAAUUUCCGGUGUAGCGGUGAAAUGCGUAGAUAUCGGAAGGAACACCAGUGGCGAAGGCGGCUACCUGGCAUGAUACUGACACUGAGGCGCGAGAGCGUGGGGAGCAAACAGG
rnacentral:rRNA from 1 species